GCUGUCGUCAACUCGUGUUGUAAGGUGUUGGGUUAAGUCUCGCAAUGAGCGCAAUCCUCGUGUUUAGUUGCCGCUAUGAGUUUGGAACUCUGAACAGAUCGCCGGUGUUAAGCCGGAGGAAGGAGAGGAUGAGUCAAGU
rnacentral:ncRNA from 1 species